AACCACCAUACAACUCUGAGCGGUGGAUCACUUGGCCUGUGGAUGCUAUGAAGACCAUAGCUAAAUGUGAGAACGGCAGCGAGUCGUUGCUAUAUGCGCUGUCUCCCUUCUCUCAUAUGUCGAAUGCACAUUGCGCCCCACCAGACAGGUCGCUACAUGGAAAGGAUGAAAUCUGUGAGGCUCGUGACAAACGCGAUUGUGUGACCCCCGAGUGACGACGGGGGACUCAGAAGCACAUGAGUGUGCGUCUCGAGCCUGUGUCAUAGUAAUCCGUUCCGACCGAUAAGGUGGGGCACUUCUAGUCGAGUGUG
rnacentral:rRNA from 1 species